rnacentral:rRNA from 1 species
UACAGAGGAUGCAAGCGUUAUCCGGAAUGAUUGGGCGUAAAGCGUCUGUAGGUGGUUUUCAAAGUCUUCUGUCAAAGAUCAGGGCUUAACCCUGAGUCGGCAGAAGAAACUUGAAGGCUUGAGUUCGGUAGGGGCAGAGGGAAUUCCCGGUGUAGCGGUGAAAUGCGUAGAUAUCUGGAGGAAUACCGGUGGCGAAGGCGGCAUCCUGGGACCGGCAUUGACGCUGAGGAGCGAAAGCUAGGGGAGCAAACGGG